AGGAGAUGGGAAGUAAAGUGUUUAUCCUCAUCUUGUUUGGAUUAUUCUCAUAAAAGAAGAGAUAGGGAAGAAAGGUAAUUUACCCUCACCUUUUUUGAUUAAGAAAUGAAGAAAAAGAAUGUAAAAUGCAGAAUUAUAAAAUGACAACAAUACCCCCCUCAAAGGAAAAGUUAAGAAAAAAGAGUUCAUAAGAAAAAGGGAAUCUUG
rnacentral:misc_RNA from 1 species